UCAGUAACGGCGAGUGAAGCGGUAACAGCUCAAAUUUGAAAUCUGGCCUCACGGUCCGAGUUGUAAUUUGUAGAGGAUGCUUCGAGCAUGGUCUGGCCUAAGUUCCUUGGAACAGGACGUCAUAGAGGGUGAGAAUCCCGUAUGCGGCCAGGUGCCUACGCUCAUGUGAAGCUCCUUCGACGAGUCGAGUUGUUUGGGAAUGCAGCUCAAAAUGGGUGGUAAAUUUCAUCUAAAGCUAAAUAUUGGCCAGAGACCGAUAGCGCACAAGUAGAGUGAUCGAAAGAUGAAAAGCACUUUGGAAAGAGAGUUAAACAGUACGUGAAAUUGUUGAAAGGGAAGCGCUUGCAACCAGACUUGCGCGCGGCCGAUCAUCCGGUGUUCUCACCGGUGCACUCGGCCGUGCUCAGGCCAGCAUCGGUUUUGGCGGCUGGAUAAAGGCCCUAGGAAUGUGGCUCCUCUCGGGGAGUGUUAUAGCCUAGGGUGCAAUGCAGCCUGCUGGGACCGAGGACCGCGCUUCGGCUAGGAUGCUGGCGUAAUGGUUGUAAGCGGCCCGUCUUGAAACACGGACCAAGGAGUCUAACAUCUAUGCGAGUGUUUGGGUGUCAAACCCAUACGCGUAAUGAAAGUGAACGGAGGUGAGAACCCUUAAGGGUGCAUCAUCGACCGAUCCUGAUGUCUUCGGAAGGAUUUGAGUAAGAGCAUAGCUGUUGGGACCCGAAAG
rnacentral:rRNA from 1 species